CCUACGGGGGGCAGCAGUGGGGGAUAUUGCACAAUGGGGGAAACCCUGAUGCAGCGACGCCGCGUGAGGGAAGACGGCCUUCGGGUUGUAAACCUCUGUCAUAGGGGACGAAGGAAGUGACGGUACCCUAUGAGGAAGCCACGGCUAACUACGUGCCAGCAGCCGCGGUAAUACGUAGGUGGCGAGCGUUGUCCGGAAUUACUGGGUGUAAAGGGAGCGUAGGCGGGAUAUUAAGUUGAAUGUAUAAACUAUCGGCUCAACUGGUAGAAGCGUUCAAAACUGAUAUUCUUGAGUGAAGUAGAGGCAGGCGGAAUUCCUAGUGUAGCGGUGAAAUGCGUAGAUAUUAGGAGGAACACCAGUGGCGAAGGCGGCCUGCUGGGCUUUAACUGACGCUGAGGCUCGAAAGCGUGGGUAGCAAACAGGAUUAGAUACCCCAGU
rnacentral:rRNA from 1 species